rnacentral:rRNA from 1 species
GGGCAUACACCAAUGUACCAAACCCUAUCAAACUCCGAAUACCUUAUAUGUAAUCACAGCAGUCAGGCGGCGAGUGAUAAAAUCCGUCGUCAAGAGGGAAACAACCCAGACUACCAGCUAAGGUCCCUAAAUCUUACUUAAGUGGAAAACGAUGUGAAGUUACUUAAACAACCAGGAGGUUGGCUUAGAAGCAGCCAUCCUUUAAAGAAAGCGUAAUAGCUCACUGGUCUAGUGAUUUUGCGCGGAAAAUAUAACGGGGCUAAAGUAAGUACCGAAGCUGUAGACUUGCGCACAACUUAGAUUAUUUAAGUUUAGAAUAUGAGAAACUAAGUUAUAUGUUUAGUUAUAUUUUUACUGAUUUUUAUAGAGUAAAGAUAGAAAUAAAACUUAGUAAAAUCAGUAAAAAUAUUCUUAGACUAAAGUUAAGUAGUUUAAGUUGUGUGCAAGUGGUAGGAGAGCGUUCUAUUUGCGUCGAAGGUAUACCGGUAAGGAGUGCUGGAGCGAAUAGAAGUGAGCAUGCAGGCAUGAGUAGCGAUAAUUAAUGUGAGAAUCAUUAACGCCGUAAACCCAAGGUUUCCUACGCGAUGCUCGUCAUCGUAGGGUUAGUCGGGUCCUAAGUCGAGUCCGAAAGGGGUAGACGAUGGCAAAUUGGUUAAUAUUCCAAUACCAACAUUAGUGUGCGAUGGAAGGACGCUUAGGGCUAAGGGGGCUAGCGGAUGGAAGUGCUAGUCUAAGGUCGUAGGAGGUUAUACAGGCAAAUCCGUAUAACAAUACUCCGAGAACUGAAAGGCUUUUUGAAGUCUUCGGAUGGAUAGAAGAACCCCUGAUGCCAUCGAGCCAAGAAAAGUUUCUAAGUUUAGCUAAUGUUGCCCGUACCGUAAACCGACACAGGUGGGUGGGAUGAGUAUUCUAAGGCGCGUGGAAGAACUCUCUUUAAGGAACUCUGCAAAAUAGCACCGUAUCUUCGGUAUAAGGUGUGGUUAGCUUUGUAUUAGGAUUUACUCCGAAAGCAAGGAAACUUACAACAAAGAGUCCCUCCCGACUGUUUACCAAAAACACAGCACUCUGCUAACUCGUAAGAGGAUGUAUAGGGUGUGACGCCUGCCCGGUGCUCGAAGGUUAAUUGAUGGGGUUAGCAUUAGCGAAGCUCUUGAUCGAAGCCCGAGUAAACGGCGGCCGUAACUAUAACGGUCCUAAGGUAGCGAAAUUCCUUGUCGGUUAAAUACCGACCUGCAUGAAUGGCGUAACGAGAUGGGAGCUGUCUCAAAGAGGGAUCCAGUGAAAUUGUAGUGGAGGUGAAAAUUCCUCCUACCCGCGGCAAGACGGAAAGACCCCGUGGACCUUUACUACAGCUUGACACUGCUACUUGGAUAAGAAUGUGCAGGAUAGGUGGGAGGCUUUGAGUAUAUGACGCCAGUUGUAUAUGAGCCAUUGUUGAGAUACCACUCUUUCUUAUUUGGGUAGCUAACCAGCUUGAGUUAUCCUCAAGUGGGACAAUGUCUGGUGGGUAGUUUGACUGGGGCGGUCGCCUCCCAAAUAAUAACGGAGGCUUACAAAGGUUGGCUCAGAACGGUUGGAAAUCGUUCGUAGAGUAUAAAGGUAUAAGCCAGCUUAACUGCAAGACAUACAAGUCAAGCAGAGACGAAAGUCGGUCUUAGUGAUCCGGUGGUUCUGUGUGGAAGGGCCAUCGCUCAAAGGAUAAAAGGUACCCCGGGGAUAACAGGCUGAUCUCCCCCAAGAGCUCACAUCGACGGGGAGGUUUGGCACCUCGAUGUCGGCUCAUCGCAUCCUGGGGCUGGAGCAGGUCCCAAGGGUAUGGCUGUUCGCCAUUUAAAGCGGUACGCGAGCUGGGUUCAGAACGUCGUGAGACAGUUCGGUCCCUAUCUGCCGUGGGCGUAAGAAGAUUGAAGAGAUUUGACCCUAGUACGAGAGGACCGGGUUGAACAAACCACUGGUGUAGCUGUUGUUCUGCCAAGAGCAUCGCAGCGUAGCUAAGUUUGGAAAGGAUAAACGCUGAAAGCAUCUAAGCGUGAAGCCAACUCUAAGAUGAAUCUUCUCUAAGCUCUCUAGAAGACUACUAGUUUGAUAGGCUGGGUGUGUAAUGGAUGAAAGUCCUUUAGCUGACCAGUACUAAUAGAGCGUUUGGCUUAUCUUUAAUAAAGCAU